GAUGAGGUAGCCAACACUGUUUUAUAUAUAUAUAUAUAUAUAUAUAUAUAUAUAUAUAUAUAUAUUUUAAUUGGGGUAGCCCCCAAAAUAUUGGGACAUAUAAAAAAAGUCAACUCUGUUCCGCAGAGUAGCUGUUGGCAUUAUAGUUGCGCAAGCACUUUGUUGACUCUAGAGAACCUCGGGCCAAUCGCACAUCCCCAUGGUGGCUACUUUGCAUGCGGAUGUCAUCCAUAUCAACUUUAGAUGCCAGUUUCUGCGCCUUCCAUGGUGAUCACGGGUAACGGGGAAUCAGGGUUCCAUUCCG